rnacentral:misc_RNA from 1 species
GUAGGUGAACCUGCGGAAGGAUCAUUAGUCUAUGUGUGGCCCGUGAGGGCUUACACGUCGGGUCUCGUCUUUUUGUUGCCGAAAGGCCGCAAAUUGGUGGGGUGUCUGAAAACCCUUGAAUAUAAAACUUAGUUGCUUUGGCGGGCCGCCCUUGGGCGUCGGCCCCGGCUGACAGUGCCCGCCAGAGGCCCAAAACUCUAUUAUCUCUGACGUCUGAGUACUAUAUAAUAGUUAAAACUUUCAACAACGGAUCUCUUGGUUCUG